rnacentral:rRNA from 1 species
UGGGGAAUAUUGGACAAUGGGCGAAAGCCUGAUCCAGCAAUGCCGCGUGAGUGAUGAAGGCCUUAGGGUUGUAAAGCUCUUUUACCAGGGAUGAUAAUGACAGUACCUGGAGAAUAAGCUCCGGCUAACUCCGUGCCAGCAGCCGCGGUAAUACGGAGGGAGCUAGCGUUGUUCGGAAUUACUGGGCGUAAAGCGUACGUAGGCGGUGACUCAAGUCAGAGGUGAAAGCCUGGAGCUCAACUCCAGAACUGCCUUUGAAACUAGGUCGCUAGAAUCACGGAGAGGUGAGUGGAAUUCCGAGUGUAGAGGUGAAAUUCGUAGAUAUUAGGAAGAACACCAGUGGCGAAGGCGGCCAACUGGCUCGAUACUGACGCUGAGGUGCGAAAGCGUGGGGAGCAAACAGGAUUAGAUACCCGGGUAGUCCCUGAGCGGGCUGGCAAGGCGCAU